GACGAACGCUGGCGGCGUGCCUAAUACAUGCAAGUCGACCUUAGUGGCGAACGGGUGAGUAACCCGUCGGUAAGCUGGCCAUCAGAAGGGGAUACCACAUGGAAAAAGGUGCAACUACCGAAUACUGAUGGAUGGACGCGCGGUGCAUGAGCUAGUUGGUGGGGUAACGGCUCACCAAGGCCACGAUGCAUAGCCGACCUGAGAGGGUGACCGGCCACAUUGGGACUGAGACACGGUCCAAACUCCUACGGGAGGCAGCAGUAGGGAAUAUUCGGCAAUGGACGAAAGUCUGACCGAGCAAUGCCGCGUGAGUGAAGAAGGUUUUCGGAUCGUAAAGCUCUGUUGUUAGAGAAGCGUUACCUAACCAGAAAGCCACGGCUAACUACGUGCCAGCCGCCGCGGUAAUUC
rnacentral:rRNA from 1 species